UUACCUCAGUAACGGCGAGUGAAGCGGUAAAAGCUCAAAUUUGAAAUCUGGCUCUUUUAGAGCCCGAGUUGUAAUUUGUAGAAGAUGUUUCGGGUGUGGUUCCGGUCUAAGUUCCUUGGAACAGGACGUCAUAGAGGGUGAGAAUCCCGUAUGUGACUGGAUACCUAUGCUCAUGUGAAACUCUUUCGACGAGUCGAGUUGUUUGGGAAUGCAGCUCAAAAUGGGAGGUAUAUUUCUUCUAAAGCUAAAUAUUGGCCAGAGACCGAUAGCGCACAAGUAGAGUGAUCGAAAGAUGAAAAGCACUUUGGAAAGAGAGUUAAACAGUACGUGAAAUUGUUGAAAGGGAAGCGCUUGCAAUCAGACUUGCACUUGGUGUUCAUCAGAGUUUCGUGCUCUGUGUACUUCAUCAAGUUCAGGCCAGCAUCAGUUUGAGUGGUUAGAUAAAGGCUUAGAGAAUGUGGCACCCUUCGGGGUGUGUUAUAGCUCUAGGUGCAAUGUAGCCUACUUGGACUGAGGACCGCGCUUCGGCUAGGAUGCUGGCGUAAUGGUUGUAAGCGACCCGUCUUGAAACACGGACCAAGGAGUGUACCUAAUAUGCGAGUGUUUGGGUGUUAAACCCAUACGCGUAAUGAAAGUGAACGCUGGUGAGAACCCUUAAGGGUGCAUCAUCGACCGAUCUUGAUGUCUUCGGAUGGAUUUGAGUAAGAGCAUAUUGGGUGCGACCCGAAAGAUGGUGAUCUAUACGUGAAUAGGGUGAAGCCAGAGGAAACUCUGGUGGAGGCUCGCAGCGGUUCUGACGUGCAAAUCGAUCGUCAAAAUUUUGCGUAUAGGGGGCG
rnacentral:rRNA from 1 species